CAAUGGGGGCAACCCUGAUCCAGCAAUGCCGCGUGAGUGAAGAAGGCCCUCGGGUUGUAAAGCUCUUUUGUCAGGGAAGAAACGGAGUUCUCUAAUAUGGGAUUCUAAUGACGGUACCUGAAGAAUAAGCACCCGCUAACUACGUGCCAGCAGCCGCGGUAAUACGUAGGGUGCAAGCGUUAAUCGGAAUUACUGGGCGUAAAGCGUGCGCAGGCGGUUUUGUAAGUCUGAUGUGAAAUCCCCGGGCUCAACCUGGGAACUGCAUUGGAGACUGCAAGGCUAGAGUGUGUCAGAGGGGGGUAGAAUUCCACGUGUAGCAGUGAAAUGCGUAGAGAUGUGGAGGAAUACCGAUGGCGAAGGCAGCCCCCUGGGAUAACACUGACGCUCAUGCACGAAAGCGUGGGGAGCAAACAGGAUUAGAUACCCUGGUAGUCCACGCCCUAAACGAUGUCUACUAGUUGUCGGGACUUAAUUGUCUUGGUAACGCAGCUAACGCGUGAA
rnacentral:rRNA from 1 species